rnacentral:lncRNA from 1 species
UAAAAGGCAAAGAUAUUCAAAUGAGAACUAUAAUAGAUUAGGGUUAGGGCUUGGGAUUUAUGCCCUAAAGCUUUGGGUUUUGACCUUUUAGCUAGAAUAGAAGCCUCUAAUGGCCUUAAAACACAUGGAAACAAGGUUUACCAUGUGCUCUCAUGGUAGAAACCCUAGGGUUGAGUUUUAUGCCCUAAAAAUGGUUCAAAAGGUUUGGAAAUGGUAUUAGAGAGCUU